GGCAAUCAGUGGCCAGGAGUCGGGGUAUGACGUAGGUGGUAUGCGUUAUCCGGGAUGAUUGGGCGUAAAGGGCGCGUAGGCGGUUUUUUAAGUCUGAUGUGAAAGCCCACGGCUCAACCGUGGAGGGUCAUUGGAAACUGGAAAACUUGAGUGCAGAAGAGGAAAGUGGAAUUCCAUGUGUAGCGGUGAAAUGUGCAGAGAUAUGGAGGAACACCAGUGGCGAAGGCGACUUUCUGGUCUGCAACUGACGCUGAUGUGCGAAAGCGUGGGGAUCAAACAGGAUUAGAUCCCCCAGUAGUC
rnacentral:rRNA from 1 species